CAGGGCUAGGGAGUGCCGGAUGAAACCAGCUCUGUCCCUGUGCAGGCUCCAGGCUCCCGCCUGACAAACAGGCAGGGAGCCACAGUCAGGGACAAUAAAAACUUGGUGCACUCUGAAAGCAGCACUUGGACAGCCUUCAAAGUCCUUCCAUCUGGCUGCACUCCAAGGCCCCCUCUGUCCUUUUCAGAACACAUGGACUUGGAGGCAGAUUUGAAAUAAACUUUUAGUAAAUGUAAGCCUUUCU
rnacentral:lncRNA from 1 species